GACGAACGCUGGCGGCGUGCUUAACACAUGCAAGUCGAACGGAAAGGCCCUGCUUUUGUGGGGUGCUCGAGUGGCGAACGGGUGAGUAACACGUGAGUAACCUGCCCUUGACUUUGGGAUAACUUCAGGAAACUGGGGCUAAUACCGGAUAGGAGCUCCUGCUGCAUGGUGGGGGUUGGAAAGUUUCGGCGGUUGGGGAUGGACUCGCGGCUUAUCAGCUUGUUGGUGGGGUAGUGGCUUACCAAGGCUUUGACGGGUGGCCGGCCUGAGAGGGUGACCGGCCACAUUGGGACUAAGAGACGGCCCAGACUCCUACGGGAGGCAACAGUGGGAAAUAUUGCACAAUGGGCGGAAGCCUGAUGCAGCAACGCCGCGUGCGGGAUGACGGCCUUCGGGUUGUAAACCGAUUUCGCCUGUGACGAAGCGUGAGUGACGGUAAUGGGUAAAGAAGCACCGGCUAACUACGUG
rnacentral:rRNA from 1 species